UACAGAGGUCCCAAGCGUUGUUCGGAUUUAUUGGGCGUAAAGGGUGCGUAGGCGGCGGAGUAAGUUGGGUGUGAAAUCCCGGGGCUCAACCUCGGAAUUGCAUUCAAUACUGCUUCGCUCGAGUACUGGAGAGGAGACUGGAAUUUACGGUGUAGCAGUGAAAUGCGUAGAUAUCUGGAGGAACACCGGUGGCGAAGGCGGCGUCCUGGACCAACACUGACACUGAGGAGCGAAAGCCAGGGGAGCAAACGGG
rnacentral:rRNA from 1 species